AUGUAUGAUAGAUACCCAGGUAACGAAAAUAAGUUGAAGUGCGAGAACAAACGUAUAGUGCCGUCAAAGUAUGAAAUGGACGGAUAAAUCUCCGUUUUCGCAUUUUCAUAAAAUUACGUUAUUCAACGCUGUUAUUAAUACGUGUCCUGUUUAGUUGUUUUUAUCGAACCACAGUUUUUAAUGAGAACGAACAUCAAGUUUACCAGUAACCGAUCAACUUUUGCACCCUAGGCUUCGCGAAACUAUUCGUAUCAUUUCUGCAGGCAAAAGUUGACGUUUUGGCAAACGCAACACAACCACAACUACUACUCUUAACAAACACAAAAAACGAUGGAUACGGAUACAGUUAUCAAGUAUGGGGUCACCAUUUUGACGUGGAUAGCAUUGCUAAUCAUAUUGCCUUCUUCGUUAAUCUGUAUGAUCAUUCACCUUUAUAAAUUUUUUCGAAGUAACAAUACUCAAAGUUUGGCCACGAAAAAUUUAACUUUCUAUUGUAUGUUUCUCUUAUUGUUUUAUGCCUGCUAUUCAGUAUACACAGCAGCAUUGUUUUUCGGUUUUUUUGAAACUUUUUACAGUUUUAACACAGUUACGAUACAUUUAUAUGCAAUUACGAGCUACCUGGAGUUUAAUAUGACUUUUGUAAAAUUUAUUAUCGCUAUAGACAUAUGCUUAUGUUUUCGAAAAAUUUCUGUACAUCUGCAACGAUCCUCGGGUUCUCAAAACAAGAAAUUCUUUGUUUACUGUCUUCUUGGCGUAUGCUUACCAAUGGUGUACACCAUUUUCCAAACAAUUCUCUUUCACGAACGAAAUGUGACCAAGGCGACCAAUAAUACAGUGGUGGUAUACAUCAACCAUAGCAAUUAUGAGAUCGAAACUGUGAUUUUAAAUAAACUCCCCCUGACAAUUGCCAUUAUUCGCAUUAUUCGUUUAAUUCCAAUUUUCGGAGCAUUUUGGUACCUGGUAUCAGCCAGUAUUGACAAAAAAGAAUUGUGGACAAGAUUUUCUGUGCAUAUACGUCUUAUUAUUAUGAUCGGUGGAUUCUCUACUAUUUUAACAGUUAUAGACUUAAUUUUUGCGAACUACAGAGUUGGAAAGCGUUACCGCGUAGAUGACAUUUACUCGCUUUUAGAUGAUAUUGGUAUUAUGAUGGAAGGGAUCGUUGUUGGAGUAUGUUUCACGUUUAAGAAAGAUACAUUUCAAUCGUUACCUACUACAACUCGUGUCACCCCCCACACCAAAACCACUAAUACAACUGCUAAUAGUAGCUGUUGAAGUAAAAAGUUGUAAAAUAUUAGAAAUUUUGAAAACUUAUGUAAGUAGGUACCUACUUGAUACUUCCUUACUCAAAGUGAAACUCUGUCAUGCCAAAUAGCCCUUCGGUUAAAACAAAGAUAGUGUAAUUAAGUAUGCAGUGUACUUACUAAUUUAAUUAGGUACCUAAUCACUUUUAACAUUAAGAGGAAAAUUAUGGAAGAACGAAAAAAUACAGUAAAGUUGACGUAUAAUUUUAAAAAGCUCGCCCGCAGGUUAAUCAAAACAGUAGUUUACAGCCUAUUAAUGAGGUUAGAAAAUCAUCAUAGAAAGACAAAAGUAUUGCACAAAUUGACAUUUUCAAAAAUGACUUUUUAAAAAAAUUAUCCUAGAAAUAACGGAUGCAUGAUUCUUUCAUCUCAAAAAAAAAAAAAAAUGUUGAUGUACUACUUAUAUGUACCUACUUAAUUUUAUUAUAUUCUAGAAUAAGUAUGUAAACCUAUCCAUAAUUUGUUUUCACGUGUACCUACUUACAUUUGCCAAUAUAAAUGUAAUUCAUAGACGUA